rnacentral:rRNA from 1 species
UUCGCCCUUAGAGUUUGAUCCUGGCUCAGGACGAACGCUGGCGGCGUGCCUAACACAUGCAAGUCGAACGGAGAUGUUUAUUUCGGUAGAUAUCUUAGUGGCGCACGGGUGAGUAACGCGUGAAUAACCUGACCCGAAGAGGGGGAUAACACCUGGAAACAAGUGUUAAUACCGCAUAAGACCACGGACCGGCAUCGGUCAGAGGUCAAAGGAGGAAUCCGCUUUGGGAGGGGUUCGCGUCCCAUUAGGUAGUUGGUGAGGUAACGGCCCACCAAGGCAACGAUCGGUAGCCGGACUGAGAGGUUGAACGGCCACAUUGGGACUGAGACACGGCCCAGACUCCUACGGGAGGCAGCAGUGGGGAAUAUUGCACAAUGGGGGAAACCCUGAUGCAGCGACGCCGCGUGGAGGAAGAAGGUCUUCGGAUUGUAAACUCCUGUUGUUGGGGAAGAUAAUGACGGUACCCAACAAGGAAGUGACGGCUAACUACGUGCCAGCAGCCGCGGUAAAACGUAGGUCACAAGCGUUGUCCGGAAUUACUGGGUGUAAAGGGAGCGCAGGCGGGAAGACAAGUUGGAAGUGAAAUCUAUGGGCUCAACCCAUAAACUGCUUUCAAAACUGUUUUUCUUGAGUAGUGCAGAGGUAGGCGGAAUUCCCGGUGUAGCGGUGGAAUGCGUAGAUAUCGGGAGGAACACCAGUGGCGAAGGCGGCCUACUGGGCACCAACUGACGCUGAGGCUCGAAAGUGUGGGUAGCAAACAGGAUUAGAUACCCUGGUAGUCCACACCGUAAACGAUGAUUACUAGGUGUUGGAGGAUUGACCCCUUCAGUGCCGCAGUUAACACAAUAAGUAAUCCACCUGGGGAGUACGACCGCAAGGUUGAAACUCAAAGGAAUUGACGGGGGCCCGCACAAGCAGUGGAGUAUGUGGUUUAAUUCGACGCAACGCGAAGAACCUUACCAAGUCUUGACAUCCCUUGACAGACAUAGAAAUAUGUAAUCUCUUCGGAGCAAGGAGACAGGUGGUGCAUGGUUGUCGUCAGCUCGUGUCGUGAGAUGUUGGGUUAAGUCCCGCAACGAGCGCAACCCUUAUGGUCAGUUACUACGCAAGAGGACUCUGGCCAGACUGCCGUUGACAAAACGGAGGAAGGUGGGGAUGACGUCAAAUCAUCAUGCCCUUUAUGACUUGGGCUACACACGUACUACAAUGGCGUUAAACAAAGAGAAGCAAGACCGCAAGGUGGAGCAAAACUCAGAAACAACGUCCCAGUUCGGACUGCAGGCUGCAACUCGCCUGCACGAAGUCGGAAUUGCUAGUAAUCGUGGAUCAGCAUGCCACGGUGAAUACGUUCCCGGGCCUUGCACACACCGCCCGUCA